GACGAACGCUGGCGGCGUGCUUAACACAUGCAAGUCGAACGGAAAGGCCCUGCUUUUGUGGGGUUCUCGAGUGGCGAACGGGUGAGUAACACGUGAGUAACCUGCCCUUGACUUUGGGAUAACUUCAGGAAACUGGGGCUAAUACCGGAUAGGAGCUCCUGCUGCAUGGUGGGGGUUGGAAAGUUUCGGCGGUUGGGGAUGGACUCGCGGCUUAUCAGCUUGUUGGUGGGGUAGUGGCUUACCAAGGCUUUGACGGGUAGCCGGCCUGAGAGGGUGACCGGCCACAUGGGGACUGAGAUACGGACCAGACUCCUACGGGAGGCAGCAGUGGGGAAUAUUGCACAAUGGGCGGAAGCCUGAUGCAGCAACGCCGCGUGCGGGAUGACGGCCUUCGGGUUGUAAACCGCUUUCGCCUGUGACGAAGCGUGAGUGACGGUAAUGGGUAAAGAAGCACCGGCUAACUACGUG
rnacentral:rRNA from 1 species